GUUUGAUCCUGGCUCAGGAUGAACGCUAGCGACAGGCUUAACACAUGCAAGUCGAGGGGCAGCAUGAUUUGUAGCAAUACAGAUUGAUGGCGACCGGCGCACGGGUGAGUAACGCGUAUGCAACUUACCUAUCAGAGGGGGAUAGCCCGGCGAAAGUCGGAUUAAUACCCCAUAAAACAGGGGUCCCGCAUGGGAAUAUUUGUUAAAGAUUCAUCGCUGAUAGAUAGGCAUGCGUUCCAUUAGGCAGUUGGCGGGGUAACGGCCCACCAAACCGACGAUGGAUAGGGGUUCUGAGAGGAAGGUCCCCCACAUUGGUACUGAGACACGGACCAAACUCCUACGGGAGGCAGCAGUGAGGAAUAUUGGUCAAUGGCCGAGAGGCUGAACCAGCCAAGUCGCGUGAAGGAAGAAGGAUCUAUGGUUUGUAAACUUCUUUUAUAGGGGAAUAAAGUGGAGGACGUGUCCUUUUUUGUAUGUACCCUAUGAAUAAGCAUCGGCUAACUCCGUGCCAGCAGCCGCGGUAAUACGGAGGAUGCGAGCGUUAUCCGGAUUUAUUGGGUUUAAAGGGUGCGUAGGUGGUGAUUUAAGUCAGCGGUGAAAGUUUGUGGCUCAACCAUAAAAUUGCCGUUGAAACUGGGUUACUUGAGUGUGUUUGAGGUAGGCGGAAUGCGUGGUGUAGCGGUGAAAUGCAUAGAUAUCACGCAGAACUCCGAUUGCGAAGGCAGCUUACUAAACCAUAACUGACACUGAAGCACGAAAGCGUGGGGAUCAAACAGGAUUAGAUACCCUGGUAGUCCACGCAGUAAACGAUGAUUACUAGGAGUUUGCGAUACAAUGUAAGCUCUACAGCGAAAGCGUUAAGUAAUCCACCUGGGGAGUACGCCGGCAACGGUGAAACUCAAAGGAAUUGACGGGGGCCCGCACAAGCGGAGGAACAUGUGGUUUAAUUCGAUGAUACGCGAGGAACCUUACCCGGGUUUGAACGUAGUCUGACCGGAGUGGAAACACUCCUUCUAGCAAUAGCAGAUUACGAGGUGCUGCAUGGUUGUCGUCAGCUCGUGCCGUGAGGUGUCGGCUUAAGUGCCAUAACGAGCGCAACCCUUAUCACUAGUUACUAACAGGUGAAGCUGAGGACUCUGGUGAGACUGCCAGCGUAAGCUGUGAGGAAGGUGGGGAUGACGUCAAAUCAGCACGGCCCUUACAUCCGGGGCGACACACGUGUUACAAUGGCAUGGACAAAGGGCAGCUACCUGGCGACAGGAUGCUAAUCUCCAAACCAUGUCUCAGUUCGGAUCGGAGUCUGCAACUCGACUCCGUGAAGCUGGAUUCGCUAGUAAUCGCGCAUCAGCCAUGGCGCGGUGAAUACGUUCCCGGGCCUUGUACACACCGCCCGUCAAGCCAUGGGAGCCGGGGGUACCUGAAGUCCGUAACCGCAAGGACGGCCUAGGGUAAAACUGGUGACUGGGGCUAAGUCGUAACAAGGUAGCCGUACCGGAAGGUGCGGCUGGAACACCUCCUUUCUGGAGCUGGAAUCUCUAGAUUAAGUCCGAUGAGGUAUGUAGCUCUCUGGUACUACGGUUGAAUAUGUAUAUAUAUAUGAUCUUAAACUGGAAAGACCAGUAUAUAGAGAGAAAGAUGAUGCUGAGAUGAAAAUUUCAGGCACAUAACGGUUGACAGUCCUAUAGCUCAGUUGGUUAGAGCGCUACACUGAUAAUGUAGAGGUCGGCAGUUCAACUCUGCCUGGGACUACCAGUUGAAAAACGGGGGAUUAGCUCAGCUGGCUAGAGCAUCUGCUUUGCACGCAGAGGGUCAACGGUUCGAAUCCGUUAUUUUCCACGAUAAACUCCGUAAGGGGUAAAAAAAGAUCUUUGACGUAUUGGACAACUUCAAAAAAGUAAAGUAACAAAAAAAUAGAGCAAGCUGAAGAUAUAUCAAUCCGACACGGGCUUCAAUUUUAGCAAUAAAAGGAAGCAGUGUCAGUGAUAAAGAAAGUAAGCAAGGGCAGACGGUGGAUGCCUUGGCG
rnacentral:rRNA from 1 species